CAAUCUAUUGGUGGUGCAGUAUUCUAGUCAGGCGUCGUUGCGUUGAGGGCGGGGAUAAAAUAUCGCCAAAGGGCACAUCGAUGAAGUUUCUUGUGCUUGCUUCCGUUGCCCAAACGGGGGCUGGUGCUGGGAGUUAAGAGCUUUGGGUAAGUUGUAACGGCAUACGACCUAUCCCAUUGCUCGAGGAGACUCUAUUGGGUAGACUUUCUUUUUAAGCCGGUCUACUCGUAGAGAUUAAACCUGCUAUGCGGUGACAAAAAGCUGUGUACAGAGUAGCCUGCUUUGAGUGAAGUUUCGGGAUUAAAGAACACGAAGUCCGAAGUUGGCCGACUGAGGGCGGAGAUUGCUUUAUGAAAUUGACUUUGCAAAAGAAGCUAAACGCAUCGGUGUCUGUUAAGGAAAACUUCUAGACUGUUUUUCGGUAGCUCAGGGAUUAUAGUACGGACUUAGUGGCGAUUCAGUUGCGUGAUCGGAGACGACACGCUGCUACGUUUAAAAGGAAACUGCUUUUUCGGCGACGAAGAGUACGCGGCAGGGAAAUCCUACUGAACCUAUGCCGUAAGGUUUAUCUGAGCUAUUACCACCAAUAUUUAUA
rnacentral:sRNA from 1 species